rnacentral:misc_RNA from 1 species
GAUGAAGAACGUAGCGAAAUGCGAUACGUAAUGUGAAUUGCAGAAUUCAGUGAAUCAUCGAAUCUUUGAACGCAUAUUGCGCUCUCUGGUAUUCCGGAGAGCAUGCUUGUUUGAGUGUCAGUAAACACCUCAACUUCCAUAUCUUUUUUGAAAUGGGAGUUGGACUUGAGUGAUCCCAACGCUUUUCCUCACCGAAAAGUGGCGGGUUACUUGAAAUGCAGGUGCAGCUGGACUUUUCUCUGAGCUAUAAGCAUAUCUAUUUAGUCUGCCUAAAAAACAGAUUAUUACCUUUGCUGCAGCUAACAUAAAGGAGAUUAGUUCUUGUGCUGACUGAUGCAGGAUUCACAAAGACAGGCUUCGGCCGACUUUGUAAACUCGAUCUCAAAUCAAGUAAGACUACCCGCUGAACUUAAGCAUAUCAAUAAGCGGAGGA